rnacentral:rRNA from 1 species
GACGAACGCUGGCGGCGUGCCUAAUACAUGCAAGUCGAACGCAGUGGGGACGGGUGAGUAACACGUGGGUCACCUCCCAUCAGAGGGGAUAACACUUGGACACAGGUGCUAAACCGAUACUGAUGGAUGAACCCGGGGUGCAUUAGCUAGUUGGUGAGGUAACGGCUCACCAAGGCCACGAUGCAUCGCGGACCUGAGAGGGUGACAGGCCAAACUGGGACUGAGAAACGGCCCAGCCUCCUACGGGAGGAAGAAGUAGGGAAGCUUCGGCAAUGGACGAAAGUCUGACCGAGCAACGCCGCGUGAGUGAAGAAGGUUUUCGGAUCGUAAAACUCGGUUGUCAGAGAAGCGGUAUCUAACCAGAAAGCCACGGCUAACUACGUGCCAGCAGCCGCGGUAAUAC